rnacentral:lncRNA from 13 species
UCUCUAAGCCGCCGGAUUCCAUGUCAGGAACUCUGGCCUAGUGAGUGGCAGUGACCCUCUCCAUGCCAGUGUCCUGAACUUUUUGGGGUCACUUUCAAGUGAGAACAGUUUCGUGGAUGCCUCUAUGAGCCAAGCCUUGUACUGGGCUCGGGGUAAAACAGUGACAAAGGGAGACGACAGACAUCCCUGCUCCAGUGGGUCCUACAGUCAGGCAGGGCAGACGAGGCAUGAAUCAAACAACCCCAGAGAGACCAGGUGGCAUUCAAGGAUAAGGCUCACUCUGAGGGAAAGGAGUGAGCAUUGGUAACAACCCAGGAUGAAGCGGCAUGGGCUGGCCCCGGGGUCAGGGCUGGAGUUGACAUCAGAUCCCCAGGGCGUCCAGAGAGAGAGGCCAGCAGCUGAGGGUCCACAUCUAACAGGAGUGAUGCCUUCUCUGGAGCUCGUCUGCUCUGCUGCUGGCUGGCUGCAGACACCUUCAUUUCUCCUGAUUGCUGUGACAGUCCUGUUUGAGCAGAGUUCGUGGGCUUUGCAGCAACUCUUCCCACCCCACCCCCAAGAGAUUGUGCUUACUCUUGGCUGAAUCUGGCUUCUGUGUGGCACCUGUCCUCCUGAGCCUCACGCAGUCACCCCUCUCUGAGAAGAAGCAGGUGACAGCCCAGGAAGCCAAAUCCCAGAGACACACAGGCCACCCACCCUCCAUCCCACCCACACCUCCGGCGGCUUGUUCGGCCUUAGGGAAUCCCGGGGCCUUGUCCCAUCCAACUGGCCAGCUGUGGUGUGAACCAGGGAUUGAAAGCCCAUAUGUGACCAGCUCUGGUAAUGAGAUUUCCCCUGCCCUGCCUGGGCACGUGUUCAUUCAUUCCAGAUACGGCCAGCAUUGAGUCCUCGAGGGCCUGGAGUGCCAAGGGGGAGACAUCCAGGUCAAGCUGAGCUCACCCGACACCUGGCCAAGUACUGGAACCAAAGGAGGCCAGGGUGUGGUGGGCUCCAGCCUGGAACAGCCUGGGAAACAACCCUUUCCUCCGUGCAGCUGGGCUCUGUCUCCUUGCAGCUUCCCACCUCCUGGUCCUCGCUCAAGCCAUCCAGGCUCCUUGGCUGCAGGAUUCCAGACUCCUUCUCAGGCACGACCCAGAAGGGCAGCCAAGAGGCCUCUCUUCCACCGAUGGAAAACAGAGCUCUCACCAAACCAGUCAAGCAGAUUCCCACUAAGCUAGUUUGGGUUUUUUAAUUGGCUAGAGGC